UAACCCAGACUUUCCCUGAAUGAACUCCGUGUGCUCACUCGGAUGUAAUUUAUCCUCGGCGGGGGAGGGGGUCUUUGGCGAGUGAUUCAACUUGUAUAUUUAAAUGUGAUGUUUGUGGAAGCGGGUAUUUUCGGAGAAACCAAAGCUAGAAGUGCAAUUCCUAUUGGGGGAAAAAUCCGUGGGACUCCCUCCUCACUGUGCACCAGUAAACAAGAAUUCUUGAGAAAUUGGUCUUAGGGAAGUGGGGGGCCUAGAUUUCUCCGACAUGUAAUUUACUCUAUGUAUAACCAGUCACUGUACUUCCUACUUAAUGUAACCGCUUGCAAAGAGAGUCACACCUCCCAGCAAAUCCAGACACGCUAAAGAGGGUCUGAGGAAGGCAAGGACGCCGUUCAAAAGCGAAACCAACAACGCUUCAUUUCCUGUGGGCUAGGAAGGGCUCUGAGUUCCACAUACGCCCCUUAUUAGGCCAGUGGCUGAAGAAAUUGGGCGAGUCUAUCACAUUGAGGCAGGACGCUGUCUUUUCAGGGCUGAAGGAUUCAGUACGGAAUUGAAAUCGGAGCCACUUUGCUUAAAACUAUGAGCAAAAGUUUGAUGUUCGGCCUUUUUGUUUUUACUCUAUAUCCAGGUGCUGUGCUGGGUGACCGUGACUCAAUCCAGCCCAGGGAAUCCCAGAUGUCUGGAGCUGAAGGCGGCUCCGUGACCCUCAGCUGUUCUUAUGAAACCAGCUACAUUGCUGGUGUCUAUCUUUACUGGUACCAUCAGUAUCCGAACCGAGCCCUGCAGUACAUCCUGGGGAGAGGAACGAAGGAAGUCAGCUCUGUCAGUGAUACCGCAGGUUUCGCCCAGGAGAGGUUUUCUUCCCAGGCUGAUGGCAACUCCACAGCUCUGAACAUCACAGCCCUGGAGCUGGCAGACACAGCGGUAUAUUACUGCGCCCUGCAGCGGGCACAGUGACAGAGCCUCACAGCAGAGCUGUACAAAAACUAUCCUCUUCCCUUCACCUUCAGGGGCUCUGCAUGGAAGAGGGACCAGAGAGAACGUCCCCAUGACCCAGCAUUCGCCCCAGUGAGGGAUGCAGCGCUGGGCCACAGCUCAGACACACAGGUGCUGUCCUCCCUGUCAACAUCUCGCUGACAGAUUACAGAAUGUGUACAUACACACACCACACACACCACACCUCUCUUGAAAAUGCCACUCAUUGGAUUUAUGGAUCCAAUACAUGCAUCCAUAAAUACCUGUGACUGAACGGAGGCCUUCCUUCCUCGGGCUCUUAAAUCCCAGCCCAAAUGUUUAAAUGCAGCGGGGUCUGUCUCUACCAGUGUCUGGGCAGCACCCAGCACAAUGGGGCCCUGAUGCCGGCUGAGGCUAAAAGUAUCUGCAGGGCCCUGCGUCCUACUCCUCAUGCCCCUCACUGAUCAGAGAACUUCGGCGAUUUACACAGUUACUUAAUGGCAGAAGACUCGGAGAUUCAAAAAGUCAAAGCUAUGUGACCACUAAGACGUGAUGUUGAGAAUUCAUAUGUCAAAGUAAACAG